AACCGAGAUUCCCCCAGUAGCGGCGAGCGAACGGGGAGCAGCCCAGAGCCUGAAUCAGUGUGUGUGUUAGUGGAAGCGUCUGGAAAGGCGCGCGAUACAGGGUGACAGCCCCGUACACAAAAAUGCACAUAUUGUGAGCUCGAUGAGUAGGGCGGGACACGUGGUAUCCUGUCUGAAUAUGGGGGGACCAUCCUCCAAGGCUAAAUACUCCUGACUGACCGAUAGUGAACCAGUACCGUGAGGGAAAGGCGAAAAGAACCCCGGCGAGGGGAGUGAAAAAGAACCUGAAACCGUGUACGUACAAGCAGUGGGAGCACGCUUAGGCGUGUGACUGCGUACCUUUUGUAUAAUGGGUCAGCGACUUAUAUUCUGUAGCAAGGUUAACCGAAUAGGGGAGCCGAAGGGAAACCGAGUCUUAACUGGGCGUUAAGUUGCAGGGUAUAGACCCGAAACCCGGUGAUCUAGCCAUGGGCAGGUUGAAGGUUGGGUAACACUAACUGGAGGACCGAACCGACUAAUGUUGAAAAAUUAGCGGAUGACUUGUGGCUGGGGGUGAAAGGCCAAUCAAACCGGGAGAUAGCUGGUUCUCCCCGAAAGCUAUUUAGGUAGCGCCUCGUGAAUUCAUCUCCGGGGGUAGAGCACUGUUUCGGCAAGGGGGUCAUCCCGA
rnacentral:rRNA from 1 species